ACAAGAAAAAUUAGAAUUGUUUCUUUUUUCUAUUUAUUGUAGCUAUCUUCCUAAAGCUAAAAUUUACUGCUGCAGUACUGAAAAUCUGUGGUAUAUCUAACAUAAACUAUAGAUUAUUAGUUGUGGCAGCAUAUAUCAAAACGCAGCCUGCAACUCUGAAUUUAAAACAAAUUCUUUUGUUGAGACAAAUAAGAUUGUUUCUAGUGUCUUAGCUUCAAAUAAAAUAAUUAAAUAAUUCUAAUUAUUAGAGAAGGGAGAAAAUAAAAAUAAAUAGAAACUAAAAAAAAAAAUGUGCAAAGAAAAAAUCUGCUCCUGUAAAAUCUCCUUAUCGCGAGAAAUAAAGAUAAUUGUUCACGACAUUCAUCGAAUUUUGAAGUGGAGACAUUAGAAAUCUACGUCAUCAAAAGUUCGAGUAAUACCGUAUGCCGGCAUUUGGCGCUUCAGUAAGACACAAAAGAAAGGACGUCCCUUGAACCUAUCAGAUAGAAGAUACGAGCCUUAUCAUUAACGAAGAGUUGUAUUACAACACAGAUUAAUUACAAUUACAACAAAUUCGUUACACUACGUAGGAAUACGGAGUUUCGAACGGCCGAUUGUAAAUGCAAGAAGAGAGCCGUGAUACAGCCCGGCUCGAAGGGACAAAGCCGACGGAGAUGUCUUUCCCUUACCAUGGUGCAUAAAACAUGACGAGUGUGUUCUCGUGACGCUCGAGCUCACUCUCGAAGGUCUCGUCAGUGAGCUCCAGGACAUCCUUCUCGUCGGCGAGGGCGCCGAGCAACAGCAGCGGCAGAA